rnacentral:rRNA from 1 species
GACGAACGCUGGCGGCGUGCCUAAUACAUGCAAGUCGAACGCACAGUUUAUACCGUAGCUUGCUACACCAUAGACUGUGAGUUGCGAACGGGUGAGUAACGCGUAGGUAACCUGCCUGGUAGCGGGGGAUAACUAUUGGAAACGAUAGCUAAUACCGCAUAAUAUUAAUUAUUGCAUGAUAAUUAAUUGAAAGGUGCAAUUGCACCACUACCAGAUGGACCUGCGUUGUAUUAGCUAGUAGGUGAGGUAACGGCUCACCUAGGCGACGAUACAUAGCCGAACUGGGAGGGUGAUCGGCCACACUGGGACUGAGACAAGGCCCAGACUCCUACGGGAGGCAGCAGUAGGGAAUCUUCGGCAAUGGACGAAAGUCUGAACGAGCAACGCCGCGUGAGUGAAGAAGGUUUUCGGAUCGUAAAGCUCGGUUGUAAGAGAAGAACGGGUGUGAGAGUGGAAAGUUCACACUGUGACGGUAUCUUACCAGAAAGGGACGGCUAACUACGUG